rnacentral:rRNA from 1 species
CAGCAGCCCGAGUGGUGGUCGUUUUUAUUGGGCCUAAAGCGUCCGUAGCCGGUCUAGUAAAUCCUUGGAUAAAUCGUACAGCUUAACUGUACGGCUCCCGGGGAGACUGCUAGACUUGGGACUGGGAGAGGUCGGAGGUACUCCAGGGGUAGGGGUGAAAUCUUGUAAUCCUUGGGGGACCACCAGUGGCGAAGGCGUCCGACUAGAACGGGUCCGACGAUAAGGGACGAAACCCUGGGGCGCGAACCGGAUUAGAGACCCGAGUAGUCC